UACGUAGGGUGCAAGCGUUGUCCGGAAUUAUUGGGCGUAAAGAGCUCGUAGGCGGUUUGUUGCGUCGGCUGUGAAAUCCCGAGGCUCAACCUCGGGUCUGCAGUCGAUACGAGCAAACUAGAGUGUUGCAGGGGAGACUGGAAUUCCUGGUGUAGCGGUGAAAUGCGCAGAUAUCAGGAGGAACACCGGUGGCGAAGGCGGAUCUCUGGGCCUUACCUGACGCUGAGGCGCGAAAGCUAGGGGGAGCAAACAGG
rnacentral:rRNA from 1 species